CCAGACUCCUACGGGAGGCAGCAGUGGGGAAUAUUGCGCAAUGGGCGAAAGCCUGACGCAGCGACGCCGCGUGGGGGAUGAAGGCCUUCGGGUUGUAAACCCCUUUCAGCAGGGACGAAGCGAAAGUGACGGUACCUGCAGAAGAAGCGCCGGCUAACUACGUGCCAGCAGCCGCGGUAAUACGUAGGGCGCAAGCGUUGUCCGGAAUUAUUGGGCGUAAAGAGCUCGUAGGCGGUUUGUCGCGUCUGCUGUGAAAUCCUCAGGCUCAACCUGGGGCUUGCAGUGGGUACGGGCAGACUAGAGUGCGGUAGGGGUGACUGGAAUUCCUGGUGUAGCGGUGGAAUGCGCAGAUAUCAGGAGGAACACCGAUGGCGAAGGCAGGUCACUGGGCCGCAACUGACGCUGAGGAGCGAAAGCAUGGGGAGCGAACAGGAUUAGAUACCCUGGUAGUCCAUGCCGUAAACGUUGGGCACUAGGUGUGGGUCCCAUUCCACGGGUUCCGUGCCGCAGCAAACGCAUUAAGUGCCCCGCCUGGGGAGUACGGCCGCAAGGCUAAAACUCAAAGAAAUUGACGGGGGCCCGCACAAGCGGCGGAGCAUGCGGAUUAAUUCGAUGCAACGCGAAGAACCUUACCAAGGCUUGACAUACACCGGAAAAGUGCAGAGAUGUGCUCCCCGUAAGGUCGGUGUACAGGUGGUGCAUGGUUGUCGUCAGCUCGUGUCGUGAGAUGUUGGGUUAAGUCCCGCAACGAGCGCAACCCU
rnacentral:rRNA from 1 species